rfam:Small ruminant lentivirus isolate SNCR5058 gag protein and pol protein genes, partial cds.
CGGGGGACACGUGUGGUGCCGUCCGCUCCCCCCAGGGAAUAACUGAUGCACCAC